ACGGUAACAGAAAGUGCUUGCACUUUGCUGACGAGUGGCGGACGGGUGAGUAAUACUUAGGGAUCUGCCUUUGAGUGGGGGAUAACUAUUGGAAACGAUAGCUAAUACCGCAUAACGUCUACGGACCAAAGGGGGCUUCGGCUCUCGCUCGAAGAGGAACCUAAGCGAGAUUAGCUUGUUGGUGAGGUAAAGGCUCACCAAGGCGACGAUCUCUAGCUGUUCUGAGAGGAAGAUCAGCCACACUGGGACUGAGACACGGCCCAGACUCCUACGGGAGGCAGCAGUGGGGAAUAUUGCACAAUGGGGGAAACCCUGAUGCAGCCAUGCCGCGUGUGUGAAGAAGGCCUUCGGGUUGUAAAGCACUUUCAGUCGUGAGGAAAGGUUAGUAGUUAAUACCUGCUAGCUGUGACGUUAACGACAGAAGAAGCACCGGCUAACUCCGUGCCAGCAGCCGCGGUAAUACGGAGGGUGCGAGCGUUAAUCGGAAUUACUGGGCGUAAAGCGCACGCAGGCGGUUUGUUAAGCUAGAUGUGAAAGCCCCGCGCUCAACGUGGGAGGGUCAUUUAGAACUGGCAGACUAGAGUCUUGGAGAGGGGAGUGGAAUUCCAGGUGUAGCGGUGAAAUGCGUAGAGAUCUGGAGGAACAUCAGUGGCGAAGGCGACUCCCUGGCCAAAGACUGACGCUCAUGUGCGAAAGUGUGGGUAGCGAACAGGAUUAGAUACCCUGGUAGUCCACACCGUAAACGCUGUCUACUAGCUGUUUGUGUAUUAUAUACGUGAGUAGCGAAGCUAACGCGCUAAGUAGACCGCCUGGGG
rnacentral:rRNA from 1 species